GUUAGGAAACUAGGCACAAUUUCCCCAUAAUCAGAUUAAGUGGAAGUGAAAUAAAUGUGGAAUAAUAAGACACAAAAUUGUUAACGAAGUUCGGCCAAUAAUGCCUACUCUCCGGACUGCUGCAGAUCUCUUUAAUAAAAAGGGAAAUAUAUGUGUUUACAAACACUCACAAACUCUCACUACCCACAACCCAAUUACACCCAAGAAUUUUCUCUAAAAUUCUCACACUGAGUUUUUCUCUUACUCUCUAUUGAUGUAAUUCACUCACUUGUGUUGUUGUUGUGUUUUUGCUUCUGAUGCUUCUUCCUUCAAAUGCACCUCUAUUUAUAGAUGUAGUGAACCGUGAAAGUUGCAAAGCUAUGCAAUCCUUUCACACCAAAGUCAUCUAACAAAAGUGUGAAACCUGUGUAUGAAUGUCAUGCUUUCAAACUUAGCAAGCUAUGCUUCUGCACUGAGCUAUACCAUAGGCUUACUAUUUGAAAGAAAAAUGCAACCUAUAAUAAAUGCAUGAGACUUUGUGUGACAAUUUGCUUCAGCAAAUUGCUUUGGCUGGUUAUCCCACGUGCAUGUGGGUCCUUACACAAUGUUCACCAACAAUCUCCCACUUGAAGACUGAUUUCAAUCGGUCUUCACACCUGAUCAUGCAGCAGCCUUCUCCGGCCUCUUACUCUAGCAGACCAACUAAAGUUGAGCACAACUUCAGUUUGUCGAUAGUCACCACCUUUGUUAACAUAUCUGCGGGAUUCUUACUUCCUUGAAUUUUAAUCAAUGUUAGAACCUCGUCCUCAAGUAGAGAUCUAAUGAAGUGAUAACGAAGACCUAUGUGCUUUGUUCUCGAAUGAAAUGCUGAAUUCUUUGCCAGAUGUAUCGCACUCUGACUAUCACUGUACAAAGCACUUUUCUCCUGCAUGAAUCCUAACUCUGUUAACAAUCCUUGAAGCCAUAUCAAUUCUUUGCUGGCUUCUGUUACUGCCACAUACUCAACCUCUGUUGUGGAUAAAGCAACAAUCUUUUGUAUUCGCGACAUCCAACUAACUGAUCGAGUACCAACAGUAAAUAUAUAUCCAGUUGUACUUCUUCGGUGAUCAACCUCACCGGCAAAGUCUGCAUCUACAUAGCCUUCUACUUUUAUCUCUCCUUUGCCAAAGUACAAACAUUUCUCUGUGGUGCCUCUUAGAUACCUCAAAAUCCAUUUAACCGCUUCCCAAUGAGCUUUACCUGGAUUUGACAUAAACCUGCUAACAACUCCCACUGCAUGGCCAAUGUCUGGCCUUGUACAAACCAUUGCAUACAUCAAACUUCCAAUUGCUGAAGCAUAUGGAAUCUUGGCCAUGAGUUCCUUUUCUUCCUCCGUCUGAGGUGAUUGUUCUUGGGAUAGGCGAAAAUGACUUGCCAAAGGUGUGCUAACCAGUUUGGCAUCGCCCAUGUUGAAUCUUUGCAAAACACGGUUGAUGUACUCCGCUUAAGAUAACUGCAAAACACCUUUUUGCUUAUCUCUCGUGAUUUGCAUACCAAGGAUUUUCUUUGCUGGACCUAAAUCCUUCAUGUCAAAUUCUUUUGACAAUUGAAUCUUCAAGUUUUUGAUCUCAUCAAUGUUUGAGCCUGCUACUAACAUAUCAUCAACAUAAAGUAGCAAAAUGAUAUAACUAGACUUAUAUCUCUUGAAGAAGCAACAAUGGUCGGCGUUGCAUUUCUGGAAACCUUCCUUGUGCAUGAAACUUUCAAACUUCAUAUACCAUUGUCUUGGAGCUUGUUUUAGGCCAUACAAGCUCUUCUUUAGCAUGCACACCAUAUUCUCUUUCCCUUCUUCUAAGAAUCCUUCGGGUUGGUGCAUGUAUAUUUCCUCCACUAAGUCUCCAUGAAGAAAUGCAGUCUUCACAUCUAACUGCUCAAGAUAGAGAUUUUCACUGGCAACAAUACUUAAGACAGACCUGAUAGUAUUGAGCUUCACCACUGGAGCAAAAAUCUCAGUGUAGUCAAUUCCUUCCUUUUGCCGGAAUCCUUUGACCACUAGUCGGGCUUUGUAUCUCUUUGAGCCAUCAUGGUCCUCCUUUACUCGAUACACCCAUUUGUUGUGAAGUGCCUUCUUUCCUAUGGGUAACUUAGCUAGCUCCCAUGUUUGAUUGGAGAUCAAAGACUUCAUUUCCUCUUUCAUCGCAAGCUCCCACUUACUAGCAUCCGUGGUCUGACAUGCUUCAUCAUAAUCUUCAGGCUCUCCUCCAUCAGUUAACAACAUGUAGUCUAUGUAUCUCCUGUUUGGAGCAUGAGGUCUAGAAGACCUUCUUAAUACAGGAACUGGAGUAGGAUGCACUAGUGUGUCAGACGGUUGUCUGAUGCUUGAUUCUGCCAAUUCCCCUGAUUGGGGACUCUUAUCUGUGGGACUUCCUGGGACAUCGUCCAUCUCUACAUAAACAGGCUCGCUCAAUCCUGAGUCGUUGGUGGUUGUGUUAUGCUUGUCUUUGUACAUCACUCUUUCAUUGAAGAUCACAUCUUUACUGCGGACCAUCUUUUUGUUUUCAUCAUCCCAGAGGCGGUAGCCAAACUCAUCCUCACCAUAACCGAUGAAAAUGCAUUUCUUGGAUUUGGGAUCAAGUUUAUUUCUACCUUGAUCACUAAUAUGCACAUAUGCUACACAACCGAAAACUCUAAGAUGUGAGAGUUUUACCUCUUUUCCACUCCAUACCUCUUCUGGUAUUUUAUGCUCCAAUGGCACCGAUGGACCUCGGUUGAUUAAGUAAGCUGAUGUGUUGACUGCUUCUGCCCAGAAUUUCUUUGGUAAGCCUGACUGCACACGCAAGCUUCUGGCUCUCUCAGUCAAUGUUCUAUUCAUACGCUCAGCUACACCAUUGUGUUGGGGAGUACCUGGCACAGUUCUUUCCAUUCUGAUCCCGUGCUCGUAGCAAAACUUCUUGAAUUUGGUGUCUUCAUAUUCACCACCAUUGUCGGUUCUGAGCUUUUUGAUCUUCAAAUCUGUCUCAUUUUCCACCAUGGCUUUCCAUCUCUUGAAAGCUUCAAAUACUUCAGACUUAUGCUUCAGAAAGUAUACCCAUACCUUUCUAGAGUGAUCAUCGAUAAAAGUCACGAAGUAAUGCUUCCCACCAAUGGAUGGGACAGUUGUUGGACCCCAAACAUCAGAGUGAACAAGCUCGAGUUUCUCUUUCUUUGGGGUCCUUCCACUUGUCUGAAAGCUGACUCUCUUCUGCUUUCCAAGUAUACAGUCUUCACAUAUGUCAAUUUCGAUUGAACGAAGACUUGGUAGUUUUCCUUUUGAGUGCAUAACCUUCAUCCCCUUUUCACUCAUAUGGCCUAGUCUCUUGUGCCAUAGAUUAGGAUUUUCAUUUGUUGCAACUGCAAUCAAAUGGCAUGCUCCAGCUGUCUUGUAAAGAGUACCACUCUUUCUACCACGAGCUAUUGUCAUUGCACCUUUUGAAAUCUUCCAAUCAUCACCGUGGAAGACUGUUGUGUAGCCUUCGUCAGCCAACUGGCCUACGGAGAUUAAGUUUUUUGUGAGGUUGGGAAUAUGUCUGACAUUUUUCAAUUCCCAUACAGACCCAUUCAACUUAAUCUUAACUUCACCUUUGCCCACAACCUUACAAGAUUGUUCAUUUCCAAGGUAAACUUUACCAAGGUUACCGGGGACAUAAUUCUUGAAGAAUUCUUUCUGAGAACUAGCAUGAAAAGACGCUCCAGAGUCUAACACCCAAGACUCUUCCUUGCUCUCCAAAGAGCAUAUCAACGCGUCACCUCCUCCUGAGGUGGAAGCAACAUUUGCCUCAUCUUUCUCCUCUUGAUUCUUUGUUGGGAGCCUACACUGAUUUUUGAAGUGUCCCGUCUUUCCACAAUUCCAACACUCGAUAGAUUUCGAGUUGUGAGAACUACGAUGAUUUUUGGAUUUGGAUCGUCUGGCCUUUGAUUUACCACGUCCAUUUCCUCUGGUUGAAUUUCUUCCUCUUGACUCUGUAUGCAAUACUGAAGAGGAUGAAGAUUCACCCAACUCUCUCCGUCGGAUCUCUUCACUGAGAACUAGAUCACGAACAUCAUCAAAUUUCAUCUUUUUGCUUCCCGAUGAGCUACUCACAGCCGUGACAAUAGCGCUCCAACUAUCUGGUAGGGAAGACAAAAGUAUCAACGCUCGUACCUCAUCGUCAAAUUCGAUACCAACUGAACUUAAUUGGGUUGUGACAAUAUUAAGUUCAUUGAUAUGUUGCGCUACUGACAUGCCUUCUGCCAUCCGAAGCGUAAACAACCGCCUCAUCAAAUGAACUUUAUUUGAUGAUGGAGGCUUUUCGUACAUGCUAGAAAGAGCCUUCAUAAGACCAGCAGUGGUUUUCUCUUUUGCUAUGUUAAAAGCAACAUUUCGAGAUAACGACAAUCGCACAACACCAAGUGCUUGUCUAUCGAGAAGGCUCCACUCGUCAUCCUUCAUCGAAUCUGGUUUCUUUUCUGUGAGAGGUUGAUGUAGCUUUUUCUGAUACAAAUAAUCUUCGAUCUGCAUCUUCCAAAAGCCAAAGUCCGCACCAUCGAACUUUUCAAUUUUCACCUCUCCUUCGUCAGCAGCCAUGACUUCCACUUGAAUCUAACUUCCUUUGGAUCUUCUUUGACAAUUUUUGUGAACUAAUGUGCUUUAGAACACCUCUGUGAACAAAUUGGUAACGCUGACCAAUAUUUCACUAUUCACGAAAAUUACUAUUCACGUGAAUAGUACUUUUGCCAAAAAUUAACAAGGAUACCGAACCAGGUGCUCUGAUACCAGUUGUUAGGAAACUAGGCACAAUUUCCCCAUAGUCAGAUUAAGUGGAAGUGAAAUAAAUGCGGAAUAAUAAGACACAAAAUUGUUAACGAAGUUCGGCCAAUAAUGCCUACUCUCCGGACUGCUGCAUAUCUCUUUAAUAAAAAGGGAAAUAUAUGUGUUUACAAACACUCACAAACUCUAACUACCCACAACCCAAUUACACCCAAGAAUUUUCUCUAAAAUUCUCACACUGAGUUUUUCUCUUACUCUCUAUUGAUGUAAUUCACUCACUUGUGUUGUUGUUGUGUUUUUGCUUCUGAUGCUUCUUCCUUCAAAUGCACCUCUAUUUAUAGAUGUAGUGAACCGUGAAAGUUGCAAAGCUAUGCAAUCCUUUCACACCAAAGUCAUCUAACAAAAGUGUGAAACCUGUGUAUGAAUGUCAUGCUUUCAAACUUAGCAAGCUAUGCUUCUGCACCGAGCUAUACCAUAGGCUUACUAUUUGAAAGAAAAAUGCAACCUAUAAUAAAUGCAUGAGACUUUGUGUGACAAUUUGCUUCAGCAAAUUGCUUUGGCUGGUUAUCCCACGUGCAUGUGGGUCCUUACACAAUGUUC
rnacentral:lncRNA from 1 species